ensembl:misc_RNA
UUCUUUGUUAAUUGUCAGCUGCUUUUAUCAAAUUCCAGGCCAUUAUCCAGCAAGCACUAAAAAUGUUUGAACAGUUGGAUUUCAAACAUUUUCAUUUUGUGGAGUGGUGCUUACCAAGUGGUACAGCUCUAAGCAAGUGAACA